GGCUGUUUGUUGUGAUAGAAGCCUGGAUGACUGCAAUCUGACCAAGUGUCCUGAAUUUGUUUGGGGAAAUCAUAAAGCAAAAGACUCUAAGUGUUUGAAACAAAGGUGUUUUAAUGCAGUGACCUAUUUUCACAGGUGAAAUAAGCAUAAGAAAACAAAAAAUAGCAAGAAGAGGACUCAAAUUAGCAACCACAAUAAAAGGGUCAGCAGAGUUCCAGGGCUGAUGUCAAGUUCAUCUUUCUGGUAGAAGCUGGGCUGGAGCCAUGAAGGAGAAUGGACUUCAGUUUUCAUCAGGGAGCCUGAGAGAAGCCCUCUUUCUGAUGUUCACUUCUGCUCUAUCUUCUGGAGCUCAGGACAAUGGCCUUUAUGCCCCGCCGUGCCUCUGUAGUGUGGAUCCAAGUAGCUGCACAGCCAAGAGGUGGGGACAGGGGGCACUGUUGUUGCAGGCCCCCCCCGCGGCCAAGCUGGAAGCUGGUGCAUAGCCCAGGAUUUCUACCUAGCAGUGCUCACUCCGGCCUGGGGCACUGACUGCCACGG
rnacentral:lncRNA from 1 species